UGCCGUCCCCGAGGUGUGAGGAAUAAAAUAAGAAUACCGGAGAUGUUUCUUUGGGGUUUCCCAAGUUUUGCCGGGUGCGUAACUCUCUCCUAGAUUCCCCCCACCCCACCCCCCCGACCUUCCGCUGAAGACGCAGCAAAGAGGAGUGCCAGCUGUGCCCUUCUUGAGCUAGCACUGCUGGGAACAGGAGACAAAGGCAGGGUAAAAACAUUUUAAAUCAAUGAAAUCAAUCAAUCUAGGGCAGCCCCAGGACAUUCGUGGGCAAAGCACCUUCUCCCUGAGCGGUUUUGGCCGAUGGAGGCUGCGCUGCAUUUCUCCACUUGCAUUUCUCCACUUGAACCUCCUGGUUCUGCACCCUCUUCUACCCAGAGAGGGAGUGGCUGGAGGUGGGAUCCGUGCUCAGGAAGGAGAGGUGGGGGCGGUCUGUCCUUCCAGAAGCAACUGGCAAGGCCGGUGGGUCUGUUCCUUUCCAGCAGCAGCUUCUGGCAUCUUCUAAAUUCAGCCGCCUGCUCCCAUCAUCCUGCCCCUGCUCUGGGGAUGCUCGGAGGCUGCCUGCCACCUUAUGGCCAAGAGAAAGGAAGGGAGAUGGGCUCAGCGGAGGAAGACAAGACGAGGCCUGGAAAGCCAACCCUCUUCCUAACGAUCAUUAGGCCUCAUUUUCAUGGGCAGAGUGAGAAACCAAAGAAGGGGUGGUCUGGGAGCGAGAGGAAGGAAGGGAUCUUUGUGAGGAGGUGGGAAGGGGGAUCCAGGAAAUCUCAGGCCUUGACCUGCAGCCAGGAUAGCCCCACAAAGCAGAGACAACGGUGUGACGGUGCAGCUCAUCACAAAAAUGUGAACCGCAGGACACCUCUGGGCGAACUUCAUCCAAAGGAUCCACAGGAAACAUGCUCAAGAUCUCCACCGUGCCCAUCGAAACCCUUUCAAUCGCAGUCAGAGUUCAUGCUGGCAGGAGAAGCGGUUUUAAUCAUGGAAAGGAAGAAAGUACGAAAAAGUACGGAUCUAGCCCACGCAUAAAACAUGGUGGCGGCGUCAUCACAA
rnacentral:lncRNA from 1 species